UUCUUAUUUUACAUCCACACAACCAUGAGCUUUUUCUUUGUUUUUUUUUCUUUUCUUUUUCUUUGCUCUAUAGUUUCAAGGGUGAUUUCUUUUUCUUGUUUCUUUUCAUACUUUCACCCUUUUAUAAAACAUCACUUUUCCAAGUUUCUAAUCAACUCUUUUUACUUUACUCUCCCCAACUUUAGAUUCCAAAACCAAAUUUAUUCAAUAAUGC
rnacentral:lncRNA from 1 species